UACGGGGGGGGGCAAGCGUUGUUCGGAAUUACUGGGCGUAAAGGGCUCGUAGGUGGCCAACUAAGUCAGACGUGAAAUCCCUCGGCUUAACCGGGGAACUGCGUCUGAUACUGGAUGGCUUGAGUUCGGGAGAGGGAUGCGGAAUUCCAGGUGUAGCGGUGAAAUGCGUAGAUAUCUGGAGGAACACCGGUGGCGAAGGCGGCAUCCUGGACCGACACUGACACUGAGGAGCGAAAGCCAGGGGAGCAAAACGGG
rnacentral:rRNA from 1 species